rnacentral:rRNA from 1 species
CGCCUGGGGAGUACGGCCGCAAGGUUAAAACUCAAAUGAAUUGACGGGGGCCCGCACAAGCGGUGGAGCAUGUGGUUUAAUUCGACGCAACGCGAAGAACCUUACCUGGCCUUGACAUCCAGAGAACUUUCCAGAGAUGGAUUGGUGCCUUCGGGAACUCUGAGACAGGUGCUGCAUGGCCGUCGUCAGCUCGUGUCGUGAGAUGUUGGGUUAAGUCCCGUAACGAGCGCAACCCCUAUCCCUGGUUGCUAGCAGGUAAUGCUGAGAACUCCAGGGAGACUGCCGGUGACAAACCGGAGGAAGGUGGGGAUGACGUCAGGUCAUCAUGGCCCUUACGGCCGGGGCUACACACGUGCUACAAUGGCGCGUACAGAGGGCUGCCAACUCGCGAGAGUGAGCCAAUCCCUUAAAACGCGUCGUAGUCCGGAUCGGAGUCUGCAACUCGACUCCGUGAAGUCGGAAUCGCUAGUAAUCGCGAAUCAGAAUGUCGCGGUGAAUACGUUCCCGGGCCUUGUACACACCGCCCGUCACACCACGGGAGUGGAUUGCACCAGAAGUAGUUAGUCUAACCUUCGGGAGGACGAUUACCACGGUGUGGUUCAUGACUGGGGUGAAGUCGUAACAAGGUAACCGUA